UACGUAGGGUGCGAGCGUUGUCCGGAAUUAUUGGGCGUAAAGGGCUCGUAGGCGGUUUGUCGCGUCGGGAGUGAAAACCCAGGGCUUAACCCUGGGCUGGCUUUCGAUACGGGCAGACUAGAGGUAUGCAGGGGAGAACGGAAUUCCUGGUGUAGCGGUGAAAUGCGUAGAGAUCGGGAGGAAUACCCGUGGCGAAGGCGGCCAGCUGGGCUACACCUGACACUGAGACGCGAAGGCGUGGGGAGCGAACGGG
rnacentral:rRNA from 1 species